rnacentral:rRNA from 1 species
CCUACGGGAGGCAGCAGUGAGGAAUAUUGGUCAAUGGACGCAAGUCUGAACCAGCCAAGCCGCGUGCAGGAAGACGGCGCUAUGAGUUGUAAACUGCGUUUGUAAGAGGGUAAACGGAGAUACGCGUAUCUUUCUGAGUGUAUCUUACGAAUAAGGAUCGGCUAACUCCGUGCCAGCAGCCGCGGUAAUACGGAGGAUUCGAGCGUUAUCCGGAUUUAUUGGGUUUAAAGGGUGCGUAGGCGGUCGGUUAAGUUAGAGGUGAAAUCCCGGGGCUCAACUCCGGACUUGCCUUUGAUACUGGUCGGCUAGAGUGUGGUUGCGGUAGGCGGAAUGUGUGGUGUAGCGGUGAAAUGCUUAGCGAUCAUGCAGAACACCGAUUGCGAAGGCAGCUUACCAAGCUGCAUCUGACGUUGAGGCACGAAAGCGUGGGGAUCAAACAGGAUUAGAUACCCCGGUAGUC